rnacentral:miRNA from 1 species
CAGGAGCAGUGCCAAGGCUGGG